rnacentral:lncRNA from 1 species
GACAAUUUGUUCGAGGUCCAUUUUUCUGUGUGGAGGAAAACCGUGAGAACACUGAUCCCUUUAGAGUACCUGUUAUGCUAUGUUAUGCUAUGCAAUGCAUGAAAUGUUUUCAAGGACACUGAUCCCUUUAGAGUACCUGUUAUGCUAUGUUAUGCUAUGCAAUGCAUGAAAUGUUUUCAAGGCCUUUUGGAAUUUAACUUUGCAUAAACUACCAAAAAGGGAAACCUUUUUUUUUUUUUUUUUUAUACAAAACAGAGCAAAGUUAAAUCCCUAAGUCCUUGAAAUGGUUAGUACAAUGUUAUGAUGUCAUGAUGUUAUGAUG